ACUCGAACCUCGCAAUUUGCACAGGUCCAGUGUGUUACAUAAAGUGAACAACAACACUCUAUCAACAGUCCUAGGAGUCCACAACUAGUCAUACAACAAUUCCUAAAAGUCAAUUACUAAGCAGAUAUCAGAGUGAAUAAAUUACAUAAUAGGUAUAACAGCAUAUAUAUACAAAUAAUCUCACCAACUCAUAACAUUGCAAACAUAUCAUACAUGUAUAACAACUCCAACACUCAACAUGCAGAAUACAUCACCCACUAGUCUCAUCAAUGUAUCAGAUACAAGCUACUAUACAGCUACUGGAUCUACAGGGUCCUCCUAUAGCAAU
rnacentral:lncRNA from 1 species